rnacentral:rRNA from 1 species
AUGGGGAAGAAGCCGGAGAAGGAGAACCCGAGGAAGAAGAAGCUGCAGAAGGUGCAGAGCGCGGCGCAGCAGCAGAAGGGGAAGCUCUACAUCAUCGUGGCCUGCAUCGCCCUGCUCGUCUGCGGCUGCUCCACCAAACAGCAAAAGCGUACGUGUGCAUAUCAAUAA